ACAGACCGCACUAUAUUUAUCUUGAUCAAGGAAGACGCUUAAAUGGUGAGUUUGAAAAAAGCGGUUCGUAAUGUCCCCGCAAUGCUAAUAAUAUACGCUGCUGAGCCGCGUGAAACAGCGCUGGUGUGAAGUGCAUGUAUGGAUAACAGUGUGCUCGCAUAGGGCUCAGCUCAUUCCUCCCAUCCGAAACUCACUAGUGCUUUACUACAAGUUAUCUUCAAGACUGUAUUAAGCAGAGGGCAGCACUAUUCCACCUGACCAAUAUGGUAAGCCAUGGAUACUAACAUUGCAGGAAAUGUUAGUACUUUAUACAUCUCUUGCAGUGCAUCCCAAAAACAAAAAACAUCAACUACAACAACAACAACAACAAAAUCUGUGCCUUCCCUUCCCUCUGUGGCUAAAAUACUAUAUCUGGCUUUUUCUUUAAGAGCAGCACUACCCUGAAAGCUUUUUAAGAAAUGGCCCAGAUCACCAAGUGGAACUUUUUUUUUGAAGUAAGUUGAUUUGUCUUGCAUUUAUACAGAAGCAGGAAACAAACACUAUGUUCUUAAAGAAGGUACACCAAUUACAUUUAUUCCUUGUUUUUCACUCUUCCCCAGAAGUGCAUGAGACAUUUGCACAAGCCAACAUGUCCAGAUAAUGAUAACAAUACACUUUAAGGACAAUUUCAAGUAGAAGUCAGUUCAUAAAUAAGAUAUAAAAAAUAUGAUCUUAGGUCAGAUGAGCAGUAGCAUGAGUUCUGGUUCCGUGAACA